GACGAACGCUGGCGGCGUGCUUAACACCUGCAAGUCGAACGAAGUGGCGAACGGGUGAGUAAUACGUGGGUAUCCUGCCCUCCUUUUUGGGAUAAGCCUUGGAAACGGGGUCUAAUACCGAAUAAAGGGGGAUGGGCUCGCGGCCUAUCAGCUUGUUGGUGGGGUGUUGGCCUACCAAGGCGGUGACGGGUAGCCGGCCUGAGAGGGUGACCGGCCGCAUGGGGACUGAGAUACGGCCCAGACUCCUACGGGAGGCAGCAGUGGGGGAUAUUGUACAAUGGGCGAAAGCCUGAUGCAGCAAAGCCGCGUGGGGGAUGAAGGCUGUCGGGUUGGAAACCUCUAACGCUAUCGAAGGGGUAGGUGGAGAAGGAGCGCCGGGUAACUACGUGCCAGCAGCCGCGGUAAUUC
rnacentral:rRNA from 1 species